rnacentral:misc_RNA from 1 species
AUUCUGUGCAUGUUGGAAUGCCUAGACUCUAUUGUGAACUGUUUUGGCCUAUUGGUGAAGGCCGGUAAAACUUUGGACUCAUAAAUAAUGUGUGGAAUUGUAUGGUUAAGGUUUACCUUUGAUGUGCAAAUACAGUCAAUUUUGACUGGAAGUUUAUGGAUUUUGAAAUUAUUGAUCACAUAAAUUCUUGAAUUUCAAAAUUAUUUUGAUAUUGGCAUCAUUAUUUCAGAUAUGGUUUUUCUUCUUUGGAUAUGGGCUCAAUUUCAUUCCUUUCUUUUAUUCCCUGUUAGGUAUA